rnacentral:rRNA from 1 species
AUUGAACGCUGGCGGCAUGCCUUACACAUGCAAGUCGAACGGUAACGGGCCUUCGGGUGCCGACGAGUGGCGAACGGGUGAGUAAUACAUCGGAACGUGCCCGAUCGUGGGGGAUAACGAGGCGAAAGCUUUGCUAAUACCGCAUACGAUCUACGGAUGAAAGCAGGGGACCGCAAGGCCUUGCGCGGACGGAGCGGCCGAUGGCAGAUUAGGUAGUUGGUGGGAUAAAAGCUUACCAAGCCGACGAUCUGUAGCUGGUCUGAGAGGAUGAUCAGCCACACUGGGACUGAGACACGGCCCAGACUCCUACGGGAGGCAGCAGUGGGGAAUUUUGGACAAUGGGCGCAAGCCUGAUCCAGCCAUGCCGCGUGCAGGAUGAAGGCCUUCGGGUUGUAAACUGCUCUUGUACGGAACGAAAAGCCUUCUUUUAAUACAGGAGGGUCAUGACGGUACCGUAAGAAUAAGCACCGGCUAACUACGUG